rnacentral:rRNA from 1 species
GACGAACCGUGCUAACGUUGUUCGGAAUCACUGGGCUUAAAGGGCGCGUAGGCGGCCGACCAAGUCGGGGGUGAAAUCUUUCGGCUUAACCGGAAAAGUGCCUUCGAUACUGGUUGGCUCGAGGGAGGUAGGGGCAGAUGGAACUUCCGGUGGAGCGGUGAAAUGUGUUGAUAUCGGAAGGAACGCCGGUGGCGAAAGCGAUCUGCUGGACCUCUACUGACGCUGAGGCGCGAAAGCCAGGGGAGCAAACGGG